CCUACGGGAGGCAGCAGUGGGGAAUAUUGCACAAUGGGGGAAACCCUGAUGCAGCGACGCCGCAUGAGUGAAGAAGUAAUUCGUUAUGUAAAGCUCUAUCAGCAGGGAAGAAAAUGACGGUACCUGAGUAAGAAGCCCCGGCUAACUACGUGCCAGCAGCCGCGGUAAUACGUAGGGGGCAAGCGUUAUCCGGAUUUACUGGGUGUAAAGGGAGCGUAGACGGUCGUGCAAGUCUGGAGUGAAAGGCGGGGGCUCAACCCCCGGACUGCUCUGGAAACUGUACGGCUGGAGUACAGGAGGGGUAGGUGGAAUUCCUGGUGUAGCGGUGAAAUGCGUAGAUAUUAGGAGGAACACCAGUGGCGAAGGCGGCUUGCUGGACUGUAACUGACGUUGAGGCUCGAAAGCGUGGGGAGCAAACAGGAUUAGAUACCCCGGUAGUC
rnacentral:rRNA from 1 species